rnacentral:rRNA from 1 species
GACAGAGGAUGCAAGCGUUAUCCGGAAUGAUUGGGCGUAAAGCGUCUGUAGGUGGCUUUUCAAGUCCGCCGUCAAAUCCCAGGGCUCAACCCUGGACAGGCGGUGGAAACUGCCAAGCUGGAGUACGGUAGGGGCAGAGGGAAUUUCCGGUGGAGCGGUGAAAUGCGCAGAUAUCGGGAGGAACACCGGUGGCGAAGGCGGUUCUCUGGGCCUGACCUGACGCUGAGGAGCGAAAGCGUGGGGAGCGAACAGG